rnacentral:misc_RNA from 1 species
CAACCCCUCAGGCCCUAGUGCCUGGCGUCGGGGCCUUCCCGCGAGGGAAGCCCUUAGAGACAGUGGCGGACCCGCCGCGGCUCCGAGCGCAGUAGAAAACAUUCUCGCUUAGGAGGUUCGCGGGGGGCUCCCGGCCGUAAAACCAACUCAUUAUCAA